AGAAAUGAAAACUACUUUUCUCAGGGCAU
rnacentral:tRNA from 1 species